rnacentral:rRNA from 1 species
AACGAACGCUGGCGGCAUGCCUUACACAUGCAAGUCGAACGGCAGCGGACCUUCGGGUGCCGGCGAGUGGCGAACGGGUGAGUAAUAUAUCGGAACGUACCUUUCAGUGGGGGAUAACGGUAGCGAAAGUUACGCUAAUACCGCAUAUUCUGUGAGCAGGAAAGCAGGGGAUCGGCAAGACCUUGCGCUGAUUGAGCGGCCGAUAUCAGAUUAGCUAGUUGGUGAGGUAAAGGCUCACCAAGGCGACGAUCUGUAGCGGGUCUGAGAGGAUGAUCCGCCACACUGGAACUGAGACACGGUCCAGACUCCUACGGGAGGCAGCAGUGGGGAAUUUUGGGACUAAUGGGACGCGAAGCCUGAUCCAGCCAUG